UCCGCGUGCUCGAGCCCUCGCCGCGCGCCCGACUCCUCCGAGCCCUAACCGCCGGCCGCGGCGGUUUUCCACCUCCCUCGUGCUUAAGUGGAGAAGCCGACGCCUCCUCUGCCCGAUUGCUUCUGUUGAUCCCCCAUUUCUUCCUCUAUUCUGACCAAGCAGAGCCGCUCCUUCUCUGCCCUGGUGCCGGCGCCACCGCCGGCCACCCCGUGCCCUAGCGCCGAUCACCCACAGCGCCCUCCCUUCCUCUGCCCUCGUCACCUCCUCACCUCCUCACCACUGAGAUCCCUGAAUCACCGUCGAGCCCUAGCUUUUGAGCCGCACAUCGCCAGCCGAGCCCUAGAUCGGGGGAGAUCAGGAACUUGCCGACGUUCCUCUUCGACGCCGAGCUUCUCUUCUUCCUCUCCUCCACUGUGUCUCUGCUGACCUUGGAGGUGCCAUCUUUCCAGAGAGCUGUGCCCUAGCCACCGCCACCGCACCCUCUGCCGCCUCUUAACAGCGUCGUUUCUGUCCUAGCGCCGGCAGCUGGCCCACUCUCACCUCCGACCACCAGCAUUUGAUUCCUUGCUAUGCUGCCAUCACUGGAAAAGAGGAGGUUAGUGCAAGUGGAUUUCCAGCCACUCACCUUGUUCCAGCAGCAAACACACUCCUUGAUUGUGGAUCAAUCACGGCUGUGAAUUGAGGACUCUGAUUCGAGACGGGCGUCUCGACUUUUGAUUUGACCAGAUUUGACUUUAAGAUUGGAGGCGGGU